rnacentral:rRNA from 1 species
GACGAACGCUGGCGGCGUGCCUAAUACAUGCAAGUUGAGCGCCGAAGGUUGGUACUUGUACCGACUGGAUGAGCAGCGAACGGGUGAGUAACGCGUGGGGAAUCUGCCUUUGAGCGGGGGACAACAUUUGGAAACGAAUGCUAAUACCGCAUAACAACUUUAAACACAAGUUUUAAGUUUGAAAGAUGCAAUUGCAUCACUCAAAGAUGAUCCCGCGUUGUAUUAGCUAGUUGGUGAGGUAAAGGGUCACCAAGGCGAUGAUACAUAGCCGACCUGAGAGGGUGAUCGGCCACAUUGGGACUGAGACACGGCCCAAACUCCUACGGGAGGCAGCAGUAGGGAAUCUUCGGCAAUGGACGAAAGUCUGACCGAGCAACGCCGCGUGAGUGAAGAAGGUUUUCGGAUCGUAAAACUCUGUUGGUAGAGAAGAACGUUGGUGAGAGUGGAAAGCUCAUCAGGUGACGGUAACUACCCAGAAAGGGACGGCUAACUACGUGCCAGCAGCCGCGGUAA